AUGGCUUUUAUCAUGGAUCGACAUGAGUUCAUGGCUGUUGUUCUCAUCCUGUCAAUUAACUGGGCUGGUGUUGAUGGUCAGACUCUGACAGAAUCUGAACCAGCCAUUAAAAAGCCUGGAGAAUCCCACACACUGACAUGUACAGUAUCUGGAUUCACAUUCAGUGACUACUGGAUGGGCUGGGUCAGACAGGCUCCUGGAAAAGGACUGGAGUGGGUUGCUUAUAUCAGUAGUGGCAGUGGUAGCACCAAAUUCUACUCUCAGUCAGUCCAGGGCCGGUUCACCAUCUCCAGAGACAACAGCAGACAGCAGCUGUAUCUGCAGAUGAACAGUCUGAAGACUGAAGAUUCUGCUGUUUAUUAUUGUGAUCGAGACUCACAGUGA